UCCUACGGGAGGCAGCAGUGGGGAAUAUUGGACAAUGGGCGGAAGCCUGAUCCAGCAACGCCGCGUGAGGGAUGACGGCCUUCGGGUUGUAAACCUCUUUCAGCACAGACGAAGCGCAAGUGACGGUAUGUGCAGAAGAAGGACCGGCCAACUACGUGCCAGCAGCCGCGGUAAUACGUAGGGUCCGAGCGUUGUCCGGAAUUAUUGGGCGUAAAGGGCUCGUAGGCGGUCUGUCGCGUCGGGAGUGAAAACCAGGUGCUUAACACCUGGCCUGCUUUCGAUACGGGCAGACUAGAGGUACUCAGGGGAGAAUGGAAUUCCUGGUGUAGCGGUGAAAUGCGCAACUAUCUGAGUACC
rnacentral:rRNA from 1 species